GACGAACGCUGGCGGCGUGCUUAACACAUGCAAGUCGAACGCAGUGGCGAACGGGUGAGUAACGCGUAAUCAACCUGCACUUCAGCGGGGGACAACAGUUGGAAACGACUGCUAAUACCGCAUAAUGAAGGAGGGGAUUGCGUCUGAUUAGCUAGUUGGCGGGGUAACGGCCCACCAAGGCGAUGAUCAGUAGCCGGGCUGCGAGGAUGAACUGCCACAUUUGGACUGCGACACGGCCCAGACUCCUACGGGAGGCAGCAGUGGGGAAUCUUCCGCAAUGGACGGAAGUCUGACGGAGCAACGCCGCGUGAGUGAUGACGGCCUUCGGGUUGUAAAGCUCUGUUAAUCGGGACGCGGUACCGAAAUAGAAAGCCACGGCUAACUACGUGCCAGCAGCCGCGGUAAUUC
rnacentral:rRNA from 1 species